rnacentral:rRNA from 1 species
CCUCAAGAUGAGUGCUCUCACAGCAUAAGCUGGUAAGGUCACGGGAAGACGACCCGUUGAUAGGCGCUAAAUGGAAGUGUGGUAACACAUGAAGUUGAGGCGUACUAACAGACCGAGGACUUGACCUC